rnacentral:lncRNA from 1 species
UCAUUAAUCAGUGCAUAAAUAUAGUCAAAUUUAUUUUUAAAAUAUAAAUUAUGUAUUGUCAAUAUCUUUCAAAUAUGCAAAUACAUAAUCAUAUAUUAGAUUUUGGAAUCAAUUGUAUUCAAAAAUCUGAUUCAAACAAAUUCUACUUAACUCAUCAGUCUUUAAUUAUGACUAUGCUUAUAUCUUAUAGUCGAACCAGAAUACUAUACUUAUAUCCUAUGGCUCGAUUAAAAUAUCACACUUAUAUCUUAUGACAGGAUCAGAAUAUUAUAUUUAUAUCUUAUGGCAGGUCAAAAUAUCACACUUAUAUCUUGUGAU